rnacentral:rRNA from 1 species
GAUGAACGCUGGCGGCGUGCCUAAUACAUGCAAGUCGAGCGAACAGACGAGGAGCUUGCUCCUUCGACGUUAGCGGCGGACGGGUGAGUAACACGUAGGUAACCUACCUAUAAGACUGGGAUAACUUCGGGAAACCGGAGCUAAUACCGGAUAAUAUUUCGAACCGCAUGGUUCGAUAGUGAAAGAUGGCUUUGCUAUCACUUAUAGAUGGACCUGCGCCGUAUUAGCUAGUUGGUAAGGUAACGGCUUACCAAGGCAACGAUACGUAGCCGACCUGAGAGGGUGAUCGGCCACACUGGAACUGAGACACGGUCCAGACUCCUACGGGGGGCAGCAGUAGGGAAUCUUCCGCAAUGGGCGAAAGCCUGACGGAGCAACGCCGCGCGAGUGAUGAAGGUCUUCGGAUCGUAAAACUCUGUUAUUAGGGAAGAACAAACGUGUAAGUAACUGUGCACGUCUUGACGGUACCUAAUCAGAAAGCCACGGCUAACUACGUG